AGCGAACGCUGGCGGCAGGCUUAACACAUGCAAGUCGAGCGGACGUAGCAAUACGUUAGCGGCAGACGGGUGAGUAACACGUGGGAACGUGCCCUUUGGUUCGGGAUAACCCAGGGAAACCUGGGCUAAUACCGGAUAAGCCCUUACGGGGAAAGAUUUAUCGCCAAAGGAUCGGCCCGCGUCUGAUUAGCUAGUUGGUGGGGUAAUGGCCCACCAAGGCUACGAUCAGUAGCUGGUCUGAGAGGAUGAUCAGCCACACUGGGACUGAGAUACGGCCCAGACUCCUACGGGAGGCAGCAGUGGGGAAUAUUGGACAAUGGGCGAAAGCCUGAUCCAGCCAUGCCGCGUGAUAGAUGAA
rnacentral:rRNA from 1 species